rnacentral:rRNA from 1 species
CUGAUCAUCCUCACAUCCUGGCUCCUGUGGAAGGCUCGCAAUGCAUGCGUCUUCGACAUGGAGCAGUCGUCGAUCCUGCGGGUGCUCAAUAGCAUUCGCACAUAGCCGAGGACUUGGGCAACUGCUGGGGCUACCGGGUUAGAAAACAUGAUCCCUGAGACAUAG